UUCCUACGGGGGGCAGCAGUGAGGAAUAUUGGUCAAUGGGCGGAAGCCUGAACCAGCCAAGUCGCGUGAGGGAAUAAGGCCCUACGGGUCGUAAACCUCUUUUGCCGGGGAGCAAGGGCGGGGACGUGUCCCGGCCCGGAGAGUACCCGGAGAAAAAGCAUCGGCUAACUCCGUGCCAGCAGCCGCGGUAAUACGUAGGGGGCAAGCGUUAUCCGGAUUUACUGGGUGUAAAGGGAGCGUAGACGGCGUGCCAAGUCUGAUGUGAAAGGCCGGGGCUCAACCCCGGGACUGCAUUGGAAACUGGC
rnacentral:rRNA from 1 species